rnacentral:rRNA from 1 species
UGUGAAGAAGGUCUUCGGAUUGUAAAGCACUUUAAGUUGGGAGGAAGGGCAUUAACCUAAUACGUUAGUGUUUUGACGUUACCGACAGAAUAAGCACCGGCUAACUCUGUGCCAGCAGCCG